rnacentral:misc_RNA from 1 species
GUACCUUCAAGCUCUGCUUGGUGUUGGGUGUUUGUCCGCUGUGUCUAGCAGACUCGCCUCAAAUGCAUUGGCAGCCGGCAAUCUGGUGUUGGAGCGCAGCACAACUUGCACUUUGCACCACGACUGUCGACAUCCAAGAAGUCUACCAUUCAC